rnacentral:ncRNA from 1 species
GGAAAGUAUAUAAAGAGACUAUUAGGGAUGCCCGGCUAUAUAUUAAAGAGAGUAUUAGUUUUUUAAGUUGUGUCACAAUUAUGUAUUACACAUGUACUCCUUGAAGAAAUUCGAUUAUUAAACGAAGUGAAUUGAAAUAUCUUAGUAACUUCAGGAAAAGAAAUCAAACGAGAUUCUAUGAUUAGUGUGAAUGAAAGUAGAUGAGCCUAUAUAUAUUUCAAUAUUUAUUGAUGAAAAGGGUAAUUAAAUUGGAAUAUUAAUUAAAAAGUAAAACGGGCAAAAUCUGUUUGAAUAUAAAGGGGAACCUUCCUCUAAGGCUAAAUAUAAUAUAUAAGCGAUAGCGCAGAGUACUGUGAAGGAAAGGUUUGAAAUAGUGGUCUUAUAAGCAGCUCGAGUAAAGUUUUAAAUAAAAAGUAAGAGCGUACCUUUUGCAUAAUGGGUCAGCGAGUUAAUAUUAGAUGCGAGCAGUAAUGCCCAGAUAAACCAAUUAUGAAAUAAUGAAUUAGUAUCUAAAAUUAGACCCGAAGCCUGGUGAUCUUACUACAGUCAGGGUUAUAAAAGCCCGAACGGGUUAUCGUUGUAAAGAUAUCCGAAGAACUGUGGUAAGUUAGUGAAAGACAACACUGACUAGGAUAGCUGGUUUUCUGCGAAACCUAUAUAAGUAGGUAAUUCAAGGCACAUCAUAGCAGGUACAGAACUGUGAUCUCAGGCAACUUCUAUCUUAUUAUAUUAUAGGUUACUUCGGUCAAGCUAUAAUAUAUAAGGUAAUUUUGCAUAUAUCGGGCAAUCGUGAAGAUUUUAUCGGUGAGUAUUCGCACUCGGAAGGGCAAUGGUGAAUAUUGAAUAAUCGGACAUAGUACGAUAAGGUUACAGUAAAAGCAGCCUAAUUGUCGAAGUGAACCUUCGGCUAAAAACCCUCAAAUUGCGGGAAAGCCCUAAAGCAAUUUCAACCAAGCAGACGUGGUAACACAGUUUGUGGCACAGGUAAUGACUCGUGGUAUGGUAAAAUCGAAAUUGAUAGACGUGAGUGAAUGGGUAAUCCGCAGCCAAGCUCCACUACUUUAAAUAACAUACUUCACUACUUUGUAAGGGUUAUUUAAAAUAAUGGUGUGCAGUUCAUCGACUAGAUGUUGGUUGGCGCAAGCUUAAGAUAUAGUCAAGCCUCAUUCGAAAGAAUGCAAUGGCAAUAAAGUAAUUUAAACAUAACAUCUCUCCAAGUUACUUGCUACUAAUUUUAGUACAAGAACAAACCUUAAUGACAUAUAUUUAACCUUUAUUAUCUUUAAGUAGGGUUUCUAAUCCUACUUUAAUAGUCGACAAGUUAGUACUAAUAGGUACCCGUACGGAGCAUAAUAGCAAGGUACUUGUAGAAAGGUACUCGGGUCAGAAGGAGGCUAGCAGCCUAACCUUUUUAUAGAGCUGAACGUAUAACCUCUAAAGUAGUUGUAUAUGUAUAUUAUUGUAAAAAAAACAUUUAAUAUUUAAAGCUACUAUAAACAACUUUCUACCCAAAAAACAUUAUACUAUCAAACCAGAUGGGUUAAAAAACAUAACUCCUAUAAAGAGUUAUAACAAUGCAAAGCUGUUAAAAAAGGUUAUCCUUUUUUCCUGACGGAAAAGGAAAAUCGUAACAACUCAGGUAUUUAUCGUUGGAUAAAUAACUUAAACAAUAAUACUUAUGUAGGUAGUGGUAUUAACUUAUCUAAGAGAUUAGCUAAUUAUUACAACAAAGUAGAUUUAACUCGAAACCCUCGACCUAUAACACAGGCUUUAGUUAAGCAUGGGCACAGCAAUUUUACACUAGAGAUUCUAUAAUAUUGCCCCCAAGCUAGUUUGCUCUCUUUCAAGCAAUUUUAUCAGGAUUUAUUGAAAGCUGAGUAUAACAUAAAGUUUGCUUAUUCUAUGUUAGGUUUUAAGCAUAGUCCAGAGAACAUCGCUAAGUUUAAGUUAAAAACCAUAUCUCCAGAGCACAAAUAAAUAUUAUCUUUAAGCCACAUUGGAAAAAUGGUUAGUCAGGAAACACGAGAUAAAUUGGCAGUUGCAACUGCAACCUACAGAAGUAACAUGAAACUUUACGUGGAAGGUCUAGCUAAUUUAAAAGCUUCGACAAAUUGAGCGUGAAGGAGUCGCAGUUAAAGUGUUAAAUACUCAAACAAAUGAAGUAAGAUAAUUUAGCCGUCAAACUGAGGCGUUAUUUUUAGGUGUUACAAGACAAGCUGUCUAUAAUGCAAUUAAAAGAGGAAAACCUGUUAAGGGGAUAUAGAAUAUAUCAAAGCAGGACUAGUCUUAAGAGUAUUAGGUGUUUUACUCAGUACAAAAAAAAAAUAGAAAAAUUUAAAUUACUUUUGUUUUAGUUAAUUAACUGAAACAGGGCCUCCUUAAGGAAGCCUAUUGUCUAAAUGGAUAGUUCAUUAAUUAUUCAGGGAGAAGGACCUCACUCAGCUAUUGAUGUUUCAACAGCUAAAGAGGUAGAUUUGUGUAUGUCUAAAGGGAAACAGCCCAGAACAAGAGUUAAGGUUCCAAAAUUAUUGUUAAGUGAAAUUAAGGAAGUUUCUAUCUAAUACGACUAGGAAAUAGGCUUAGAAGCGGUCCAUUUUUUGAAGAUCUCGUAACAGAGCACUGGUUUAGUAAUUAAUCCAAAUAUUGGAUUAUUAUAUUGAUAGUUGCACCGAAAAUUUAACGGAUCUAAACAAUAUACCGACACCUUGUCCAUAUUUAUUAAUAAUUUAUUAUUAUAUUUAAUGGGGUAGCAGAACGUUGGGUAAAUCUGGGAUUUAUUCUUUUUAAGAAUGAAUAAAAGAUAACCCAAGUGAAAAUGCUGACAUGAGUAACGAAAAAGGUCUGGCAACUCUAUUUGUGAUAAUAUACCUUUUUACUUAUAUAUUAAGUUAUAUGGUUAUUUAGAUGUUUAUGAGCUGAUGUCAUCAGAUAUCUUUAGUAUAAGCGGACAUAAUCUCCGUACAAAGUAGAGCCACCCAUAGACCUCGCCUAAAGCUUAUGGUUUUUGUAAAGUAACGGCCUCUAAGUUUACCAACCUAAAGGAUUAAACGAUGAGUAAAUCUCAGUUAGUGAGUAACAACCUACUUUUAGUGAAGUAGGUUCUGGAAAAACCUCUAACUCUGCUGUCAUAGUGUAAAAAACUAAAACAGAUGAAUGCCAUGAUAGUUUUUAAAAAUAAAGGCUCUAACAUUAGCAAUAAACUAAACAGAUGAGCGAUGAUUGCUCAAUAAACUCAAACAGAUGAGAGCAAUGAAUGAGCCUUUAAAGAAAGCAAUAAACUCAAACAGAUGAGCUUUCAAAGAAUUAAGUACAUAUAUGAAGCAUUAGCAAUAAACUAAACAGAUGGGCGAUGAUUGCUCAAUAAACUAAAACAGGUGAUAGCAAUGUGCAUAUAUGUAUGUUUUUCAUUUUAAAAAGAAAAUACCGUACCUAAAAACUACCCCUAGUAAGCUAGUAGAGAAUACGAAGGCGUUUGAGUGAACAAUCAUUAAGGAACUCGGCAAACUAACUACCGUAACUUCGGGAUAAGGAGUGCCAUUCCUCCUAAUUAAUAUUAGGUAAAGAAUAGGAAGCAUGGAAUAGUGUUGUGCGACUGUUUAAUUAAAACAAAGCACUCUGCAGUAAGAUAAUAAAUCAAAGUAUUGAGUGUGAUUUCUGCCCGAUGUCGGCUGGUUAACGGAUUUGCUAAGUUGACUAAUAUAAGCUUGGCUUUGAAGGAAACCCCGAUCAAUGGCGGCCUUACCUAUAAGGGUCCUAAGGUAGCGGAAUACCCUGGCCGUUAAAUGCGGUCUUGCAUGAAUGAUUUAACGAUGCAACAGCUGUCUCAAUGAUUGGCUCAGUGAAAUUGGAAUAACUGUGCAGAUACAGUUUACCUCUAGUUAGACGAGAAGACCCUAUGCAGCUUUACUGUUGCUAGUUAUUGAAUAUGAUACGGCUUAUUUUAGUUAUAAGGUAGUGUUAACUCAAUUGAAACACCUUUAUUAGUGUAUCAUAUUGGUAGAUUUUCUACGUGAAACUCUUAACACACUCUUGCUUAGGCAAGAUGGUUGAGACAAUCAUUAACCUUCGACACUACGUACCGAAGGAACAAUUGCUAGGAGGCAGUUUAUGCGGGGCACAGAUCCCAUAAAAAGUACCUGGGUGUAUCCAAAUUUAAUUUUUCGUAAAAUUGUCUUAAUUAUGACAAUCAAAUAUACCCUUUAUGUAUAUUUUUUAUUUUUAGUAUGUUAUUUGGUAUAGCUUAAGCUAUAACUAAUCCAGCUAUAUAUCUAUUGAGUUAGAACUAAUAUUUUUUUUUAUCCAAGUAAGAUUUUAUCUAUAUGGAAAAUAGAUGUAAUUAAAACAUUGCUAUUCAGGAUGCAAUACAAUGUUUUUAGUUAUAUUAUUUGUCAGCUUAAUUUAUAAUAAUUAAGUUAUGCUUAUUAUAGCAUAGUCAAGGUUGAUUGUUUAUAUAAUAAUAUAAUUGUGUUUAUUACUUGUCAAGUUUAAUGGCUUAAUCUUGCUUUACUGUCUGACUUACACGUCUAUCAGUCGCGUAAGCGGGGCAUAUGAUCACAAGAUGCAGAAAGGAAAGGUCUUGGAUUUUUGAAAAAGCUACGCUAGGGAUAACAGGCUAAUUGCGCCAGGAAGUACAAAUUGAGUGCGCAGUUUGGCACCUCGAUGUCGGCUUAACUUAUCCACAUGAUUGUAGGAAGCAUGAAGGGUUCGACUGUUCGUCGAUUAAUAAGUUACACGAGCUGGGUUAAAUACGUCGUGAGACAGUAUGGUUUCUAUCUUCUAGAGGAAAUUAGAAUAAAAUAAGGAUAUUCCCCUCGUACGAAAGGAGCUGGGAAUAUUAACCUCUGGUUUACCUGUUGUCUAUGUGCCCAAUAUUAAAACAAAACCUUAACAAACUAAAUAGAUGAAAGGAAAAAAUAGGGAUGUUACUUUCACUUAAGUAAAUCUAUAGCAUAGGCACGGCAGGAACGCUAUGUUAGUUAAAAUAAGUGCUGAAUGCAUCUAGGCACGAAACUUACUUUAAGAUAUUCUUAAAUAUACGUAGUGGAAUACUACAUAAUUAUAAUAAUAAAAAAUUUUUUUUAC